GAAACGCGUCGUGACUGGCGAAUAGGUGGACCACCACCGGGGAGCGGCGCGUCGGCAUCGAUAGCCGCCCGCCUGGGCUAGAAGC
rfam:Actinomyces sp. oral taxon 180 str. F0310 genomic scaffold SCAFFOLD1, whole genome shotgun sequence.